ACGGAAGGCAGCAGUGGGGAAUAUUGCACAAUGGGCGAAAGCCUGAUGCAGCGACGCCGCGUGAGUGAAGAAGUAUCUCGGUAUGUAAAGCUCUAUCAGCAGGGAAGAAAAUGACGGUACCUGGCUAAGAAGCCCCGGCUAACUACGUGCCAGCAGCCGCGGUAAUACGUAGGGGGCAAGCGUUAUCCGGAUUUACUGGGUGUAAAGGGAGCGUAGACGGUUUGGCAAGUCUGAAGUGAAAUGCGGGGGCUCAACUCCUGAACUGCUUUGGAAACUGUCGAACUAGAGUGCAGGAGAGGUAAGUGGAAUUCCUAGUGUAGCGGUGAAAUGCGUAGAUAUUAGGAGGAACACCAGUGGCGAAGGCGGCUUACUGGACUGUAACUGACGUUGAGGCUCGAAAGCGUGGGGAGCAAACAGGAUUAGAUACCCUGGUA
rnacentral:rRNA from 2 species